AUCUGAUUGCACAACCUCCUUGUGGGGAUGAAGAAACUCACCAGAGGAAAAUGGUGUCUUUCCAACCACCCAAGCAACUGAUGAUGUUUCACCUCUUAGUGACAACACAAACCAGCGAGCGAGAUUGAUGUCACUGACUAUGGAGGCACUACACUAAUGUCUUCACAUUUCAACUCUAAGUGACAACUUGGUUUUAAAACUUCUUAUGACCUUCUAGCACACGUCGAGUGCUUUUCAGAGUGGUUUUCUGAACAUGCCAUGCAGCGAGAUUGAGCACAGUGGUCGAUAGCCUCCUUCACAAGGCCUCAACAAGGGGCCUGGAAUCGAGGCUAAGUGAUCGAGUGAUGGUCUGAACAGUGCAGCGAGAGUGUCACUGCAGGCUUGCUUGUGAGCACUAUAAUUAUGGUGAUGGAGGCAAACACACAAUUAGACAAGCCUUCCAGCUGCAAGGGUGUACAAGACCCCCCCCCUGCAUGAGAGUCUUAAUCCAGUUACCCCAUGCAGACCCCCCCCCCCCCCCCACAACAUCCCAUCAGGUGAGCAUAGUAUUGCUGAGUGUAUGGGGAAUAUAUUACUGGUUACACUCAAAGUAGGUCUAUAGAGUGUAUGUAGAAGUGUCUUAUGUCUGUGGUUUACCAACUGUUUUGCCUCAGUCACACACUUGUGGGUUUUGUGCAGAGUGGGAAAUGUAUACAGUGACUUGCAACAGAGUGCAUGCCACAGCAAAACCACUAUUAGAUUGUUAGAAAAUACUUUUAGAACCAUAGAUUGAAGAGU